AACCACAGCCAUAUCACCCUGUUGCCCAAGACCGGUUACUCACAGAAGCUAGGCAGGGCUGAGCCUAAUCAGUUCCUGUAUGGGAGACCACAUGGGAAAAACUAGGUUGCUGUUGGAA
ensembl:rRNA 5S_rRNA 5S ribosomal RNA